ACCGAAUCGUUUCCAGUGUCGAUAAUCUGCGAUAUAUUUCAUCGGCGAAUGUGUGCGUGCGUGUACUAUGGCAGCGGCUUUUUGGCUGCGCUUGGUAUAUGUGCUGUGCUUCCUUGCUGGUGCCCUGUAUUGUUGUGGGACGCCAAUGUCAGUUCGUAAACCGCGGGAAAUGACUACCGAGGAGGUAAGGCUUACGCUUGCGUUUGUCUGUUAUAUCUUGGUGGACGAGUAGUUGUGGUUGGGACUGAGGUGCCUACAACGUGCUUUUGAGUGGGACUGCGUCUCCGUGUGCGCCGUGUGCGGAUAGCUUGCUAUAUGCGUGUGGUUGUGUAUGGAUUGAUGCGGACUUUAACUUGUUGCCGUUCGGGACGUUGGCGAAAUGGAGCGAUUUGACCCGUCUUGAAACACGGACCAAGGAGUCUAACAUGUGUGCAAGUGUUAGGGUGUCGAAACCCGGACGCGUAAUUAACGUGAAGGGCAGCGCAAGCUGUCUGAGGUAGGAAACGUUGCGGACUUCGGUCUGCGAUGUGGCACUAUCGACCGAUCAUGAACCUUCGUUGUGAAAGAUUUGAGUUUGAGCACAUAUGUUGGUACCCGAAAGAUGGUGAACUAUGCCUGAGUAGAGUGAAGCCAGGGAAAACUCUGGUGGAAGCUCGUAGCGAUUCUGACGUGCAAAUCGAUCGUUGAACUUGGGUAUAGGGGCGAAAGACUAAUCGAACCAUCUAGUAGCUGGCUCCCUCCGAAAUCUCCCUCAGGAUAGCAACAACUUAUUUACGAUAGUUUUAUGAGGUAAAGCGAAUGAUUAGAGGAUUCGGGGAA
rnacentral:rRNA from 1 species